UUCCUGCAGCAGCCCUGUAAAGCUGGAGAAGUGCAGGACUUGCGUCCCAUCUGUUUGGAGCAAAGGGAAGUGAGGUCUCUUGCAGCUGAAGCACCUGUCCCUUCCCUCUUUCCCUUCCCUCCCAAGGAGGCCGCUAUUUGCCGGAAAGGUCAGGACUCUUUCAGCUCUGAAGCCACCUUCAAGGACACCCAUCACCAGGGUUCCAAGCGCUGACAGGAUUUUACUGUAUUUUUCUCAGUCCGUUUCAGAGCAGAUGCUCACAAGCCUUAACGUGGUGCACACGUGUAGCCAGGAGCAGGCUGAUGCGAUCCUCGGUUUAGCUUGAAAAACCUUCACUGGAAGCCUGGCAAAGGGAAGCGAGAGCCACAGAAAGUCACGACUCCCCCGCGUCUCGCGUGGAGGGACAGAUGCAUGAAUGUUAUGCUUAAGAUGCAUCUUUGCCGGAAAGAGGAAAGCAGAGCAGAUGCUCACAAGCCUUAACGUGGUGCACAUGUGUAGCCAGGAGCGGGCUGAUGCGAUCCUCGGUUUAGCUUGAAAAACCUUCACUGGAAGAAGCCUGGCAAAGGGAAGCGAGAGCCACAGAAAGUCACGACUCCCCUGCGUCUCGUGUGGAGGGACAGAUGCAUGAAUGUUAUGCUUAAGAUGCAUCUUUGCCGGAAAGAGGAAAGCAGUCUGUAAGAAAGAACGAUGAUCAAUGCCACGUUUGACUUUGGAUGACAAGGUGGCAGCAGGAAAGCAGGCUCUGAGGUAGUCCCUGUUUCCCGAAGAGCAAGAAUCUGAAGAAUGAGGAGCAGGAGUGAUCAGACACUUUGAAAAGAAGAGUAGCUCUCGAGCAGGAGGUGCGUGGUAUUUUCCAAAGGAUUACACUU